UACGUAGGGUGCGAGCGUUGCCCGGAAUUAUUGGGCGUAAAGCGCACGUAGGCGGUCUGUUAUGUCGGAUGUGAAAGCCCUUGGCUUAACUAAGGAAGUGCAUCCGAAACUGGCAGGCUAGAGUACUAAAGAGGGUCGCGGAAUUCCCGGUGUAGAGGUGAAAUUCGUAGAUAUCGGGAGGAACACCGGUGGCGAAGGCGGCGACCUGGGUAGAUACUGACGCUGAGGUGCGAAAGCGUGGGGAGCAAACAGG
rnacentral:rRNA from 1 species